rnacentral:rRNA from 1 species
ACGCUGGCGGCACGCCUAACACAUGCAAGUCGAACGAAGUAGCAAUACUUAGUGGCGAACGGGUGAGUAUAAUGUGGGUAUCUGCCCUUUGGUUUGGAAUAACACGAGGAAACUUGUGCUAAUACCGGAUAAGCCUUCACAGGGAAAGCUUUAGCGCCAAAGGAUGAGUCCGCACUUGAUUAGCUAGUUGGUAAGGUAAUGGCUUACCAAGGCUACGAUCAAUAGCUGAUCUGAGAGGAUGAUCAGCCACAUUGGGACUGAGACACGGCCCAAACUUCUACGGAAGGCAGCAGUGGGGAGUCUUGCACAAUGGGGGAAACCCUGAUGCAGCGAUGCCGCGUGAGUGAAGAAGGCCCUUGGGUUGUAAAGCUCUUUCGUCGGGGAAGAAAAUGACUGUACCCGAAUAAGAAGGUCCGGCUAACUUCGUGCCAGCAGCCGCGGUAAUACGAAGGGACCUAGCGUAGUUCGGAAUUACUGGGCUUAAAGAGCACGUAGGUGGUUAAGAAAGUUGGUGGUGAAAUCCCAAGGCUUAACCUUGGAACUGCCACCAAAACUUUUUAACUAGGGUAUGAUUGAGGUAAGCGGAAUUCCUAGUGUAGAGGUGAAAUUCGUAGAUAUUAGAAAGAACACCAAUUGCGAAGGCAGCUUUCUGGAUCAUUACUGACACUGAGGUGCGAAGGCAUGGGUAGCGAAGAGGAUUAGAUACCCUCGUAGUCCAUGCCGUAAACGAUGUGUGCUAGACGUUGGGAAUUUAUUUUUCAGUGUCGCAGCAAAAGCGUUAAGCACACCGCCUGGGGAGUACGACCGCAAGGUUAAAACUCAAAUGAAUUGACGGGGACCCGCACAAGUAGUGGAGCAUGUGGUUUAAUUCGAAGAUACGCGCAGAACCUUACCAACACUUGACAUGUUCGUCGCGACUCUAAGAGAUUAGAGUUUUCGGUUCGGCCGGACGAAACACAGGUGCUGCAUGGCUGUCGUCAGCUCGUGUCGUGAGAUGUUGGGUUAAGUCCCGCAACGAGCGCAACCCCUACUUUUAGUUGCUACCAUUUAGUUGGGCACUCUAAAAGAACUGCCAGUGAUAAGCUGGAGGAAGGUGGGGAUGACGUCAAGUCCUCAUGGCCCUUAUGUGUUGGGCUACACACGUGCUACAAUGGUAUUUACAGUGGGAUGCAAAGAGGCAACUCCAAGCCAACCCUCAAAGAAUACCUCAGUUCGGAUUGUACUCUGCAACUCGAGUACAUGAAGCUGGAAUUACUAGUAAUCGCAGAUCAGCGCGCCGCGGUGAAUACGUUCCCGGGUCUUGUACACACCGCCCGUCACACCAUGGAAGUUGGUUACACCUUAAGGCAAAGUGUAAAACCUUUGACUACGGUACGAUCAGCGACUGGGGUG